UCAUUCGAUUUGGAUCCAUCAACCUAAAAUACGUAAAUUAAAAUUAAAAUCCCAAAGUCACCGUAAGUUGAAGAAGAAAAUAAGGAAAAAUGGCACCGAAAACUGCACGAGCAAGAACUACAAAAGCCAAAUCUACAGACAUUCCAUCGCUGGACUAUCACAAAGUUCGUAAGGCCAUGAAACGGCACAAUACCAAGAAAAUGGAUAAGGAAACGGUCAAAAAGAUUGCCCAUGAGCUCGAUUUCCCUUUGAAAGACCUCAGCCACGAACGUCAUCUCCGUGGCAAAAUGCUCGCUUCAAUUAGAACAUGGGACAAAGAAUAAAUCGACUUUUCCCAUCAAUCAAAACUAUGACCAGGCCAUGGACACGAAUAAACCAAACGCAAAUUUAAACCAAAUACAAAAAAAAAAAUUCAAACUGAAUUGAAUCAAAAGUGUGAGAUCGAAAAAUAAAUAGAAAAACCAUAGUUGUAAGCUUUGUAGCGAGCAUGUUACUUCAAAAUUAAAAUAAAAAUUGCUUAAAUCUAGCUGAAGACUUGAGAAGAAUUUCA